AAAAAGAAAAAACCGUCGUUCCCUACCCCUGAAAACAAAACAAAAAAUCACAAUACGAUUGAGCCCUACCUGAGGAAUUGAGGGUGAAAGAAAGGGGGAAGGAGAAAGAGUUAGGGGUUGUCGGAUCGGCAGGGGAGAGAGAGAGAUUGCGAGUCGGCGAGGGACUGUGAGAGAGAGAAAGAGAGAGAGAGAGAGAGAGAGAGAGAGAGAGAGAGAUUGAGACUGAGACUGAGAUAGAGAGAGAUAUUGACACCGAGAAAGAAGGAGAUGGAUUGCAAUUUCUCAGUUACCAAACAGAGGCCUAAUACUUGUUCUCAUACUGAUCUGUUGGAGGACUGAAAUCAAAGCAUUUAUCAGUGUUGCUAGCAAGGAUGAUUGAAUUGAUAGGACGCAAGGAAAGCAUUGUCAUUGAUUAUGAACUUUAUACUUCUCCCUCUGUAAUCUAAUUAGUGUACUUCAAAUCUAUUGGAAUGGACCAUGCUAAAUGUACUGUGAUGUAGUUUGUAUUUUUCUUC